rnacentral:rRNA from 1 species
UACAGAGGGGGCAAGCGUUGUUCGGAAUUACUGGGCGUAAAGGGCGCGUAGGCGGCCUGCUAAGUCGAACGUGAAAUCCCCGAGCUCAACUCGGGAACUGCGUCCGAUACUGGCAGGCUUGAAUCCGGGAGAGGGAUGCGGAAUUCCAGGUGUAGCGGUGAAAUGCGUAGAUAUCUGGAGGAACACCUGAGGUGAAGACGGGUUGCUGGGCUGACACUGACGCUGAGGCGCGAAAGCUAGGGUAGCAAACGGG